rnacentral:rRNA from 1 species
CACCAGACUCCUACGGGAGGCAGCAGUGGGGGAUAUUGCACAAUGGGGGGAACCCUGAUGCAGCGACGCCGCGUGGGUGAAGGAGUAUUUCGGUAUGUAAAGCCCUAUCGGCAGGGAAGAAGCAAGACGGUACCUGACUAAGAAGCCCCGGCUAACUACGUGCCAGCAGCCGCGGUAAUACGUAGGGGGCAAGCGUUAUCCGGAUUUACUGGGUGUAAAGGGAGCGUAGACGGCAGUGCAAGUCCGGAGUGAAAGCCCGGGGCUCAACCCUGGGACUGCUCUGGAAACUGUAAAGCUGGAGUGCGGGAGGGGCAGGCGGAAUUCCUGGUGUAGCGGUGAAAUGCGUAGAUAUCAGGAGGAACACCGGCGGCGAAGGCGGCCUGCUGGACCGUAACUGACGUUGAGGCUCGAAAGCGUGGGGAGCAAACAGGAUUAGAUACCCCUGUACAU